AGGAACCCAUCAUUGGAUAAAGAAUAUACAAGAAAACAACAACCGUGAGCCUUUAGUUUCAACCAAAUUAAACACAAUAUUAAUGCAUAUCAGCGGCCUUUAGUUUCAACUUAGCAAAUCUGGUUCCGACUCAUCAUGGCCACUAACAUGCUUAGCAUCACCAUUUGAAAAUUCAUUCACACAUCAAACUUUGUUUCCAAAUUUUGGUUCAAGCAUACAAGAUUGUACAGCCUUUGAACAAGACUACCAAGCAUCAGCUUGACUAUCCAACUCACAGACGUAGAAGCAAACUUUUGAACAAAAUGAAGCAGGAAG
rnacentral:lncRNA from 1 species